rnacentral:rRNA from 1 species
GACGAACGCUGGCGGCGUGCCUAAUACAUGCAAGUAGAACGCAGUUGCGAACGGGUGAGUAACGCGUAGGUAACUACCUAUUAGAGGGGGAUAACUAUUGGAAACGAUAGCUAAUACCGCAUACUGGUAGAUGGAUCUGCGUUGUAUUAGAUAGUAGGUAGGGUAAUGGCCUACCAAGGCAACGAUACAUAGCCGACCCGAGAGGGGGAUCGGCCAAACUGGGAAUUGGGAACGGCCCAGACUCCUACGGGGGGCAGCAGUAGGGAAUCUUCGGGAAUGGGGGGAACGCUGACCGAGCAACGCCGCGGGAGUGAAGAAGGUUUUCGGAUCGUAAAGCUCUGUUGUUAAGGAAGCGGUACCGGAAUAGAAAGCCACGGCUAACUACGUGCCAGCAGCCGCGGUAAUAC